GACGAACGCUGGCGGCGUGCUUAACACAUGCAAGUCGAACGGAAAGGCCCUGCUUUUGUGGGGUGCUCGAGUGGCGAACGGGUGAGUAACACGUGAGUAACCUGCCCUUGACUUUGGGAUAACUUCAGGAAACUGGGGCUAAUACCGGAUAGGAGCUCCUGCUGCAUGGUGGGGGUUGGAAAGUUUCGGCGGUUGGGGAUGGACUCGCGGCUUAUCGGCUUGUUGGUGGGGUAGUGGCUUACCAAGGCUUUGACGGGUAGCCGGCCUGAGAGGGUGACCGGCCACAUUGGGACUGAGAUACGGCCCAGACUCCUACGGGAGGCAGCAGUGGGGAAUAUUGCACAAUGGGCGGAAGCCUGAUGCAGCAACGCCGCGUGCGGGAUGACGGCCUUCGGGUGGUAAACCGCUUUCGCCUGUGACGAAGCGUGAGUGACGGUAAUGGGUAAAGAAGCACCGGCUAACUACGUG
rnacentral:rRNA from 1 species